rnacentral:rRNA from 1 species
UACGUAGGGGGCGAGCGUUGUCCGGAUUUAUUGGGCGUAAAGAGCGUGUAGGCGGCCUGACAGGUCUGCUGUGAAAACUCGAGGCUCAACCUCGAGAUGUCGGCGGAAACCGUCUGGCUAGAGUCCGGGAAGAGGAGAGUGGAAUUCCGUGGUGUAAGCGGUGAAAUGCGCAGAUAGUCAGGAAGAACCACCCGUGGCUAAGGCGGUUCUCUAGUACGGUACUGACGCUGAGACGCGAAAGCGUGGGGAGCGAACAGG